CACAGUUGGGGUCUCAGCCGACACAAAGAAUGAAGAAGAACAACUUGAGUUGUUGUUGUUUUUUUUUUCUCUUCUCCUUUUUCCUCCUUCUGGUUUACCUUUUACGACGCAGAGUAGAAAAAGAAAAGGAAAUUGUUCCAACUCCCGAGAAGAACUGGCAACCAUACGAAGCCGUAAUCAUUGUCUCAGACAUGUUGAUGUCUCUUUCUUAAGCGGUCGGGAAGGUUUCGAGUUCACGGCUCAAAUUAUUACAUGCAAUUCAGCUGCAAUCACGCCCACUACUCCAGACAUGUCGGGGAGGCUCUAUUUGUUCAAAUCCAUGUGCAAGGAAGAACAGAGGCAAACUAUGCUGCUCCCCAGCAUUUUGAUGAAGAAAUGUCUCUACUGUUGUAUGCUAAACCUUAAUGCCAUUCAAACAUAAGAAUUUCUGGUGCCAAUGCAAAAAGAAAUAUUCUUAAUUAGAGUUGGAAUAGUUUUUACCUGAAUAAUAACCACAGAAACUGGAAGAGAAAAAUGCAAUUGAGAUCAUCAGAUGUCGCGAUGUUAUGUCUAAUUCUUCCCUUGGAGCCAAUCAAUUAUAAAAAUAUUUUCAAGAAUAACUGGUGCUGUGUGUAACCCAUGGAAGGCGCCAUAACAAUUUAGAAUAUUUCAAGAGAAAAAGAAAAUUUAGACUCGACUAGAAGAAAAAAAAAACUUAAAACAAAUCCAAAAAUAAAGAUGAUUUCAAAAAAAUUCCACUUGGAAAAAAUUCUCUUAGUUGACCCCGAAAAAAACUUGGUUACACACACCGUACACAGGUGAUUAUACCCAAAACAAACAAACCCUUUUUACCCUGAACGUAUGUCAUCGGACUGCGUUGUUGUUUCAAAGUUUUCUCACGCGGGCGGGACUGUAUGUUUGUUUCCCAGUCAUUAUACAAUCAUUAAGAGAGUCAAAGUCUCUUUCUUGACAGACGUAUUCAUACGAUUGAAGAAUUUUUGUUGAGGCUAACUAGAUUUUUGGUGGGCGAACGUUACACGACACGGACCACCAGUGUUCCAGCUGGAUGUUCAACUAUCGAUGCAGAGAACAAGUUUUUUUCGGUACCUACGAUACUAUACGUGGAACAAAAGCAGCUGAAAUCAGAUUGCUCUUGUUUCAUUUCAUCUUGUAAUAAAAUAUUUGUUGAAUGUAGAGCUUCUAUAGUUUUAUGACAGUUGUUUUAUCGAAAUCGUUCAUCGCCUCGUGAGAAAUAUGCGAAGAAAACGACGUGGCCACCCGGAAUUUCGAAUUGACGUCACUCUUUUUUUUCUUUUCUUGUUUGACGAAUGGAAUAACUUUGAAUACAAUCUGGCCUUUUCUGAA